rnacentral:rRNA from 1 species
GACGAACGCUGGCGGCGUGCUUAACACAUGCAAGUCGAACGGAAAGGCCCUGCUUGCAGGGUACUCGAGUGGCGAACGGGUGAGUAACACGUGGGUGAUCUGCCCUGCACUUCGGGAUAAGCCUGGGAAACUGGGUCUAAUACCGGACAGGAGCCAUUUUUAGUGUGAUGGUUGGCAAGUUUUUUCGGUGUAGGAUGAGCUCGCGGCCUAUCAGCUUGUUGGUGGGGUAAUGGCCUACCAAGGCGGCGACGGGUAGCCGGCCUGAGAGGGUGGACGGCCACAUUGAGACUGAGAUACGGCCCAGACUCCUACGGGAGGCAGCAGUGGGGAAUAUUGCACAAUGGGCGCAAGCCUGAUGCAGCGACGCCGCGUGGGGGAUGACGGCCUUCGGGUUGUAAUCUCCUUUCGCUAGGGACGAAGCUUUUUGUGACGGUACCUAGAUAAGAAGCACCGGCUAACUACGUG